rnacentral:rRNA from 1 species
AUUGAACGCUGGCGGCAUGCUUUACACAUGCAAGUCGAACGGCAGCGCGGGCUUCGGCCUGGCGGCGAGUGGCGAACGGGUGAGUAAUGCAUCGGAACGUGCCCAGUAGUGGGGGAUGGCCCGUCGACAGCCGGAUUAAUACCGCAUACGACCUGCGGGUGAAAGCGGGGGACCGAAAGGCCUCGCGCUCUUGGAGCGGCCGAUGUCGGAUUUGAUAGUUGGUGGGGUAAAGGCUUACCAAGGCGACGAUCCGUAGCUGGUCUGAGAGGACGACCAGCCACACUGGGACUGAGACACGGCCCAGACUCCUACGGGAGGCAGCAGUGGGGAAUUUUGGACAAUGGGGGCAACCCUGAUCCAGCCAUGCCGCGUGCGAGAAGAAGGCCUUCGGGUUGUAAACCGCUUUUGUUCGGGAAGAAAUCCUCUGGGCUAAUACCACGGGGGGAUGACGGUACCGGAAGAAUAAGCACCGGCUAACUACGUG